GAUGAAGAACGUAGUGAAAUGCGAUAAUUAAUGUGAAUUGCAGAAUUCCGUGAAUCAUCGAGUCUUUGAACGCACAUUGCGCCGCAUGGCAUUCCGUGAGGCAUGCCCAUCUCAGCGUUAGAAAAUAUUCUCAAAUUUUAGUUUUGUGCUAAAAUUUGGAUCAUGUCAAGGAAGCUAUUACUAUUAUUGUGAUCGCUCUUUGGAAAUUGAUAGGUCUUUGAGUUGCUACUCAUAGAACGUGAUGAAUCUUUCUUCGUUCUAUUGUAAUUCACUCUGGUAGUCCUAAAACUUGUAUGCCUGUGGCAUAUCUUGUAAUUUGACCUGAGAUUGGGUAGGGAUACCCGCUGAACUUAAGCAUAUCAAUAAGCGGAGGA
rnacentral:misc_RNA from 1 species